AGCUGAUCCGGGACGGAGCCGGCGCGGCGGGGGAGGCGGCGGCACCGGCACCGGGAACAGGGACCCGCCACGGCCCGGCGGCACCGGUGGGACCGGACCCGCGGGUGCUUCCAUGCCCCCUUGCUCCUGGCUAACCAGCACCAGUUCUUCAGUGGCAAGCUUUAUGUCCUUCUCCAGUAGCUAAAGCUGCCAGUUGAAGAACUGUUGAAUGUAGCCACUCUCUUCUUGUCACUGGGACCUUGGAUGCCAGCCAGACCCGUGCCCUGAGUGACCAGGAUCAGCCAGUCUGAAGCGUCCUGUGGAUUUGAGGGCUGAGGAUGAGUCCAGCCAGGAUGAAGAAGUCUCUCCACAGCCUCCAGACAGAGCCUUGGCUGGGGGAUUGCCAGGCAGCCCUGUCAGCGGGGUCCUGCUGCAGUGGGGUAUCACUGAGCUGAGAGGAGACCAAAAGAGGCAUUAAACUUUCUGUUUUGCUCAACA